rnacentral:rRNA from 1 species
GCAAGUUCAUAAGAGCAAACGGUGAAUGCCUUGGCAUCUGGAGCCGAAGAAGGACGUCGUAAUCUGCGAUAAGCCUCGGGGAGCUGAUAAACGAGCUGUGAUCCGAGGAUUUCCGAAUGGGGAAACCCCGCCAGGCCCCUUGUGGUGACCUGGUGACUCCCGCCUGAAUAUAUAGGGCGGGUAGAGGGAACGUGGGGAAGUGAAACAUCUCAGUACCCACAGGAAGAGAAAACAACAGUGAUUCCGUCAGUAGUGGCGAGCGAACGCGGAAGAGGCUAAACCGAGUCAUGUGUGAUACCCGGCAGGGGUUGCAUGGCCGGGGUUGUGGGACUUUUCGUUCCGGUCUGCCGGCCGGUGAACGUUACAGCGCAUCAUAGACGAACAGGUUUGAACGCCUGGCCAGAGCGGGUGCGAGCCCCGUAGUCGAAAUGGUGUUAUGGCGUGAAGAGUAUCCCAAGUAGCACGGGGCCCGAGAAAUCCCGUGUGAAUCUGUCAGGACCACCUGAUAAGCCUAAAUACUCCCAGAUGACCGAUAGCGGACAAGUACCGUGAGGGAAAGGUGAAAAGUACCCCGGGAGGGGAGUGAAAUAGUACCUGAAACCGUUUGCUUACAAACCGUCGGAGCCUCCUUGUAGGGGUGACGGCGUGCCUUUUGAAGAAUGAGCCUGCGAGUUAGUGCUCUGUGGCGAGGUUAACCCGUGUGGGGCAGCCGUAGCGAAAGCGAGUCCGAAUAGGGCGAUUCAGUCGCAGGGUCUAGACCCGAAGCGAAGUGAUCUAUCCAUGGCCAGGUUGAAGCGACGGUAAGACGUCGUGGAGGACCGAACCCACUUCAGUUGAAAAUGGAGGGGAUGAGCUGUGGAUAGGGGUGAAAGGCCAAUCAAACUUCGUGAUAGCUGGUUCUCUCCGAAAUGCAUUUAGGUGCAGCGUUGCGUGUUUCUUGCCGGAGGUAGAGCUACUGGAUGGCCGAUGGGGCCCAAAAGCUUACUGACGUCAGCCAAACUCCGAAUGCCGGUAAGUGAGAGCGCAGCAGUGAGACUGUGGGGGAUAAGCUUCAUAGUCGAGAGGGAAACAACCCAGACCACCAACUAAGGUCCCUAAGCGCGUGCUAAGUGGGAAAGGAUGUGGAGUUGCACAGACAACCAGGAGGUUGGCUUAGAAGCAGCCACCCUUGAAAGAGUGCGUAAUAGCUCACUGGUCAAGUGAUUCCGCGCCGACAAUGUAACGGGGCUCAAGCACGCCACCGAAGUUGUGGCAUUGACAUUAGUGGUAGGCCUUCGUGGUCCAGCCGUGUUGAUGGGUAGGAGAGCGUCGUGUGGCGAGUGAAGCGGCGGUGUGAACCAGCCGUGGAUGCCACACGAGUGAGAAUGCAGGCAUGAGUAGCGAAAGACGGGUGAGAAACCCGUCCUCCGGAAGACCAAGGGUUCCAGGGUCAAGCUAAUCUUCCCUGGGUAAGUCGGGACCUAAGGCGAGGCCGACAGGCGUAGUCGAUGGACAACGGGUUGAUAUUCCCGUACCGGCGAAGAACCGCCCAAGACAAUCCAGUAGUGCUAAGUAUCUGAAUCCCUUUGAUGGAUCCCUUCGGGGUGAAGCGUUGGGCCUAGCGUACGACCCCGUGCUGGUGCGUUUAGCGUAUUAACAGGUGUGACGCAGGAAGGUAGCCGAGCCGGGCGAUGGUUGUCCCGGUCUAAGGAUGUAGGGCGAACGAUAGGCAAAUCCGUCGUUCAUAUAGCCUGAGAUCUGAUGGGUAGACGCAAGUCGAAAUCGGUGAUCCUAUGCUGCCAAGAAAAGCAUCGACGCGAGGUUCUAGCUGCCCGUACCCCAAACCGACUCAGGUGGUCAGGUAGAGAAUACUAAGGAGAUCGAGAGAAUCGUGGUUAAGGAACUCGGCAAAAUGCCCCCGUAACUUCGGGAGAAGGGGGGCCUGAGGCGUGAACGGACUUGCUCCGGGAGCGUUCGAUGGCCGCAGAGACCAGUGGGAAGCGACUGUUUACUAAAAACACAGGUCCGUGCUAAGUCGCAAGACGAUGUAUACGGACUGACGCCUGCCCGGUGCUGGAAGGUUAAGAGGAACGGUUAGCCGCAAGGCGAAGCUGAGAAUUUAAGCCCCAGUAAACGGCGGUGGUAACUAUAACCAUCCUAAGGUAGCGAAAUUCCUUGUCGGGUAAGUUCCGACCUGCACGAAUGGCGUAACGACUUCCCAGCUGUCUCAACCGCGAACUCGGCGAAAUUGCAUUACGAGUAAAGAUGCUCGUUACGCGCAGCAGGACGGAAAGACCCCGUGACCUUUACUAUAGUUUGGUAUUGGUGUUCGGUGUGGCUUGUGUAGGAUAGGUGGGAGACGUUGAAG